rnacentral:rRNA from 1 species
CCUGCCCACUGAAAUUUUUGAAUGGCCGCAGUAAUUUGACUGUGCAAAGGUAGCAUAAUCAUUAGAUUUUUAAUUAAAAGCUUGUAUGAAUGGUUGGACGAGGUAAAUUCUGUCUUUAUUUAAAUAAUAUUAGAAUUUAAUUUUUAAGUUAAAAAGCUUAAAUAAAUGUAAAAGACGAGAAGACCCUAUAGAUCUUUAUAUUAUUAUUUUAUAAUUUUAAUAAAGAAUUUUUAAUUUUUUAUAUUUUAUAAUAUUUUAUUGGGGUAAUAAAAAGAUUUAAUAAAUUCUUUUUUAUAUUUUACAUUAAUUUAUGAAUGUAUGAUCCAAAAUUUUUGAUUAUAAGAUUAAGUUACCUUAGGGAUAACAGCGUAAUUUUUUUAGAGAGUUCAUAUCGAUAAAAAAGUUUGCGACCUCGAUGUUGGAUUAAAAAUUGUUUUAGGCGCAGAAGUUUAAAAAUUUGGUCUGUUCGACCAUUAAAUUUUUACAUGAUCUGAGUUCAGACCGGUGUAAGCCAGGUCGGUUUCUAUCUUUAUUAUUUUAUAAUAUUUUAGUACGAAAGGACCAAAUAUUUAAUAUAUUAAUAUUUUUAUUUUUGAAUAUUAUU